UCCGUAGGUGGCGAGCGUUGUCCGGAUUUACUGGGCGUAAAGGGAGCGUAGGCGGACUUUUAAGUGAGAUGUGAAAUACUCGGGCUCAACUUGAGUGCUGCAUUUCAAACUGGAAGUCUAGAGUGCAGGAGAGGAGAAUGGAAUUCCUAGUGUAGCGGUGAAAUGCGUAGAGAUUAGGAAGAACACCAGUGGCGAAGGCGAUUCUCCGGACUGUAACUGACGCUGAGGCUCGAAAGCGUGGGGAGCAAACAGG
rnacentral:rRNA from 1 species